GCUAGUAAUCGCAGAUCAGAAUGCUGCGGUGAAUACGUUCCCGGGUCUUGUACACACCGCCCGUCACACCAUGGGAGUCGAUAACGCCCGAAGUCAGUGACCCAACCGAGAGGAGGGAGCUGCCGAAGGCGGGAUGGAUAACUGGGGUGAAGUCGUAACAAGGUACC
rnacentral:rRNA from 1 species